UGCACAGCGCUCCUGAGGGAUUCCUGAGAGCAAAGUGAAGUCAGAGGUAGGGCCACAAAAGGAAGUGAGGCAGGUGUAGAGGCCUAGACUGGAUCUAAGAAUGGAAAGCUCUGGAAUAGGUGUUUACGGAAAUGCAUGGAGAUAAGAGAAAAGGCUGAAGAACAGGUGUGGGAAGCCAGAUGAUAUGGGACUUGAUGAAAUGCCCUGCAGAAAUUAUCAGCUUGCUCUAAAGAUUCUGCACGGCUAUACUUGCCCACCCCUGCUCAUCUACCCACUUCAUGUCCUGGUCAUCCAAAUGAAAGCAAUACAGAGCACCAGGAGAACCUCACCAACAAACCAGGGCAGCUAAGAAUGGUGCCCGAGGAGACGCCUUACCUUUUUGGUGAGGGAAUCAUCUGAGUCUGAUGGCAUUCGAGUGGAAACGUGGAAAAUCACUUCCACAGUCGAGGUAGCAUAGUAAGGGGCUGUCUGCCCGGUGCUGCCAUUGCGCUGAAGGCCACCCAUGAACCCACAGUGGGUGGAGAGAUCCACCUGACAAAGAUCACAAAGAAGAAAGAGUGAGGAUCAACAAUGAGCUGUUCUUUCACUAAGCAGGACUGUGAAUUCACAAAAACAUAAAUUAUUUUCAUUUUUAUAUCUUUCUUUCUGAUUACAAACAAAUGUAAUACAAAGUUAGACCAGAUUAAGAUGUUAAAGAAAUAAAAAACAUUAAAAAUGAAAGUGCUCUAUAAUCAUAUCAACUGAAUAAAACCACUAUCAAACUUUUGGUA